rnacentral:ncRNA from 1 species
GUUAUCAAGAAAGGUUGAGGGAUUAGACCCUGUGAAACCUUAGCAACCCUCCUUUGGAGAAGGUGCUACAUUCUACUGAGUUCAGUCUCGGAUAGAUAA